rnacentral:rRNA from 1 species
GGCGGCGUGCUUAACACAUGCAAGUCGAACGGAAAGGCCCUGCUUUUGUGGGGUGCUCGAGUGGCGAACGGGUGAGUAACACGUGAGUAACCUGCCCUUGACUUUGGGAUAACUUCAGGAAACUGGGGCUAAUACCGGAUAGGAGCUCCUGCUGCAUGGUGGGGGUUGGAAAGUUUCGGCGGUUGGGGAUGGACUCGCGGCUUAUCAGCUUGUUGGUGGGGUAGUGGCUUACCAAGGCUUUGACGGGUAGCCGGCCUGAGAGGGUGACCGGCCACAUUGGGACUGAGAUACGGCCCAGACUCCUACGGGAGGCAGCAGUGGGGAAUAUUGCACAAUGGGCGGAAGCCUGAUGCAGCAACGCCGCGUGCGGGAUGACGGCCUUCGGGUUGUAAACCGCUUUCGCCUGUGACGAAGCGUGAGUGACGGUAAUGGGUAAAGAAGCACCGGCUAACUACGUGCCAGCAGCCGCGGUGAUACGUAGGGUGCGAGCGUUGUCCGGAUUUAUUGGGCGUAAAGGGCUCGUAGGUGGUUGAUCGCGUCGGAAGUGUAAUCUUGGGGCUUAACCCUGAGCGUGCUUUCGAUACGGGUUGACUUGAGGAAGGUAGGGGAGAAUGGAAUUCCUGGUGGAGCGGUGGAAUGCGCAGAUAUCAGGAGGAACACCAGUGGCGAAGGCGGUUCUCUGGGCCUUUCCUGACGCUGAGGAGCGAAAGCGUGGGGAGCGAACAGGCUUAGAUACCCUGGUAGUCCACGCUGUAAACGGUGGGCACUAGGUGUGGGGUCCAUUCCACGGGUUCCGUGCCGUAGCUAACGCUUUAAGUACCCCGCCUGGGGAGUACGGCCGCAAGGCUAAAACUCAAAGGAAUUGACGGGGCCCCGCACAAGCGGCGGAGCAUGCGGAUUAAUUCGAUGCAACGCGUAGAACCUUACCUGGGUUUGACAUGGAUCGGGAGUGCUCAGAGAUGGGUGUGCCUCUUUUGGGGUCGGUUCACAGGUGGUGCAUGGCUGUCGUCAGCUCGUGUCGUGAGAUGUUGGGUUAAGUCCCGCAACGAGCGCAACCCUUGUUCACUGUUGCCAGCACGUUAUGGUGGGGACUCAGUGGAGACCGCCGGGGUCAACUCGGAGGAAGGUGGGGAUGACGUCAAGUCAUCAUGCCCCUUAUGUCCAGGGCUUCACGCAUGCUACAAUGGCUGGUACAGAGAGUGGCGAGCCUGUGAGGGUGAGCGAAUCUCGGAAAGCCGGUCUCAGUUCGGAUUGGGGUCUGCAACUCGACCUCAUGAAGUCGGAGUCGCUAGUAAUCGCAGAUCAGCAACGCUGCGGUGAAUACGUUCCCGGGGCUUGUACACACCGCCCGUCAAGUCAUGAAAGUUGGUAACACCCGAAGCCGGUGGCCUAACCGUUGUGGGGGAGCCGUCGAAGGUGGGACUGGUGAUUAG